GGUGGGCUACGCCAUCACAAUGGUUUUCGGGUAAAGCAACCAAUUCAAAGCGGGGAGGCUUCAGUCUGCUUGGAGUACGGGUUGUGGCUACCGGAACGAAAUGACACGAGAAAACGCAAAACGAAGUCCACCAAGAGGCACUGCGGUGUCUUCAGGCUAGGAUGGCGCUCCCGUACUUCAAGAGGCUGCAGCGCAGGGGUGUUGGGCUGAGCGGCAGCGAGCUACGGAGGAACCGGCUCUUCGAAAAGGAUUGAAGGGCGGCAGCAGUGCGUAAAUUUUGAGGAGCGGAAAGGCCGAAGAUGUUCUCUAUGAUCAUAGGGAACUGAAACGGAGAAGAAGUGAAAUGCAUCGAAGACUCAACAGCUCUGACACUUCAGCAGCAGACAGCGGAACAGCUCUUUCAUCGACGGCUGCGUAGACGAAGUAAACCGGAAACGUUUGUGAAGGAACAUCAGAAGGGAUGUGAUUUCUGUUCAAAGAGAGGCUAUGUGUGUGGUGUCUCAGUGAAUUAAUGGUUUGCCCGAUUUUCCUCGCUUUCGAGGACUUCUGCAAAAGCAGCAGACGUCCACAACGAGGCGACGUUCUACAGCAACCCAGUGCCAGUCUCGCAUCGGUGUAUUCAGGGCUUAGUUUGUGUGUGAAUUUCAGGAGCCAAACAGCAGAGUAGGCCAGCUGCGACGGAGAAAUGAGCGUUUAUUCCCAGGCAGUGCACCGGUAUAAACGCCAAACUUUGCCGUUACGCGGAAGCCGCGACAACGUAAAGUUCCUUCAGUCCGUUAACAACUUGCUAGCAACAACAAACGAAAAGAAGAACUGGCAAAAUGGUACCCUGUGCUGGAAAUCGCGUGUAUAGCCAACAACUCCGUAAAUCAUGUUCACGUGAGAAAUUUUGGGAUGACUUGACUGUGGCCGGGAGCUACGCACCACGAUUGGAAGGCCAAGCCAGUAACCGGGGACAUUGAGAGAGGCAUAAGCCUUGUCGAAUAUGCUGGCCUGCAUGACUGUGGAUUGCGUAUUUCCAUGAAAAGACAUCUCCGAGCCGAACGUUAUUUAGUGGGUGUUUGGGGCGUCAGUGUCUUCGGUGUCAAGUUCUCGCAGGCUGUUGCUGCAGCGAACGGGUAGGUGUGUUUGCUGCCUCAGCGCUACACGAAUCGAAGGGAAGUACGGAGUAAGGGAAGCGUUUGAACAUGUAUCCUCACAGUUGGAGGCUCUGUGAGAGAAUCAAGGAAGUAUUGUACGUAGACGAUGGACGCGAGAAAACGACUACAUGACCAUGCGACCGGCCGAGACGACAGACCACGAAGCUGGCCCCUCGAGCUACUGUGGGAGUGCGCAAGAGAUCAUUGCCUUGUAUCGAAAAGACAAAGUGUUUACUAACAUCGGAGUCUUGCCUCUAGAUGGUCAUCAAGAACAAUGCAGAAACGUGCUUCUCAUCCACCACCUCCCCUCCUGCACGUCGUCGACCCCUCUCUGUGACAGAUGAACUAACCACAAGAAGCGGGAUCCUCCAUGACAAUGUGCCGAUAUCGCAAGAACCUUUGCAACUGGCAAACGUGCUGCGAGGGAGAAAGGAGCGAAAAGGGAGCGCGCGAGACAAACUCUCCGUCGCGUUUUUCGCUGACUCCCUGCUGCAGAUGAAAGCCAAACAGUACGCAUUCGUAGGGAGGAAUCAACUGAAGUGCUAAUGCCAGGGUUGAACUCGGUGGAGAAUUCGGCGCGCGUACAUGGCAAAUGUCCAGACGGCGCACGCGAGAAUGCCGACGCAUAUAUGCACUUGCGGGUGAUUGGUGGCCUGUCGCCUUGGCGUGCCGCAGACUAUGCCGAAAUGUGUCUUUAGGUCGAUAAGCACACAGCUGGGUGCAUAAGCAUGCGCCACCACACCAGAUGUGGCGACACUAGACGUGCGCGUACUUCCCA
rnacentral:lncRNA from 1 species